UUGUGUUUUUCAUUUAUUAUGCUACUCUGUGUCUUUGAUUGGAGAAUUUAUUCCAUUUGCAUUCAGAAUAAUUAUUGAUAGGUAUGAACUUACUGCCAUGUUGUUAAUUGUCUUCUAGCUCUUCUGUAAUGCCUUGUUCUUUCUCUUCACUUGCUCUCUUGCCUUGAUGAUUCGAUGUGUUAAUUUUCAGUAAUAGUAUGCUGAGAUUCCUUUCUCUUUUUCCUUUGUGUAUCUGGGAAUGUUAGGGAAGAGUGAAUAGGAAGCAUCCUUGGAGCUACAACCUUAAGGGAGGGUGACAGCCCUGCCGUGCGUCCAGUGGGGGCGGAGUGCCUGCUGCAAGGGCUCAGGGAUGGUCGUGGGGAACGCAGGUGCAUUGGUGUUGCUGGAAGGGGAAAUGUGAGGUGGCUUGUUCUGGGAACUGAGGUCUGUGUGUAGCGCAGAAGACUUGUAACUUCUUAUAAGUCAGUAGUUCUCAUCUUAUGCAUUUGAAACAUCUAGAAGGCUUUUUGAAAAUGUUCAGACCUAUAUCCCAGGACUGUUGAAUUUCUAUAUUUAGGAAGAGGACGUGAGUGUGUAUUUUUCUUUAGAAUGUCCAUGGAUGACUUAUUUUUUUGCAGGGGGGGUGCUUUUUAGGGCUGCAGGUGCCGCAUAUGGAAAUUCCCAGGCUAGGUGUUGAAUUGGCGCUUAGGCGCCAGCCUAUGCCACAGUCACAGCAAUGCCGGAUCUGAGCCAUGUCUUCGACCUACACCAUAGCUCGUGGCAACACCGGAUUCUUAUCCCACUGAGCAUGACCAGGGAUCAAACCUGCAUCCUCAGAGAGAAUAUGUCAAGUUCUUAACCUGCUGAGCCACAACAGGAACUCCUAACAUGAAUAAUUUACAUGUUGUAUUCUUCAUAAAUAUCUUUAGAGGCAAUAUUAUUUAUUGAGUAAUAAUAAAUAGUAAAUAAUAGUAUUUGCUCAACUUUUCCUCUGCUAGUUGGGCAUUAAGGUUGUAUCCACUUUUUCCCUGUUACAGAUGUUGAGUCAAAGGGUAAGACUAUUCUGUACCACUUUGAUAGCAAUUGCUAAAUAGGUUUCCCAAACCAGUUUACUUCUUUAUACUGCUCUAAUCAGUAUGUGUCAAAAUUUGCCAGUCCUUCUUCUCAUUGGGUACUGAUACUCAAAAUUGCUUUCCUAAUUUCAUAUGUGGAAAUAGUGUCUGGAACUGGAUCAGGUAAGAGGAGAUGAUUGAACUGAUGCAGGGCGGCUCACAGAGUCACAGGGCAGGAAGCUGGAAGUGCAGCAGGAGCUUGGCGGGGCCUCCCACACGGCAGAGAUCUAUCCAGGCCUCCCUGCUCCCCACCGGGCCGCCCACCCGCCUUGGCCUCUGCAUCUCAUUUGUCUCCCUUUGUGCAUCUGUUGCUUGGCCUCUGGCUCUGUCUCAUUGCGUGUGCGUGUUGCCUGUUGCCUGUCUUCCUGGCUCUCACUCUGCCUUUCUCUGUGUCUUGGUCCUCCCGUCUCUCCUUGUCUGUCUGUCUGUCAGUCCCUCUGUCUGCAGGCCCCACCAUCCUAUUCUCUCAUCUCUGCUUUCCUUGCACCUGGCGAAAAAGAACGCCUCCCCUCCCCCAACCCCACCCCUGACCCCCAGCAGUACCACUGGUCUUCUUUUU
ensembl:lncRNA